GACGAACGCUGGCGGCGUGCUUAACACAUGCAAGUCGAACGGAAAGGCCCUGCUUUUGUGGGGUGCUCGAGUGGCGAACGGGUGAGUAACACGUGAGUAACCUGCCCUUGACUUUGGGAUAACUUCAGGAAACUGGGGCUAAUACCGGAUAGGAGCUCCUGCUGCAUGGUGGGGGUUGGAAAGUUUCGGCGGCUGGGGAUGGACUCGCGGCUUAUCAGCUUGUUGGUGGGGUAGUGGCUUACCAAGGCUUUGACGGGUAGCCGGCCUGAGAGGGUGACCGGCGACAUUGGGACUGAGAUACGGCCCAGACUCCUACGGGAGGCAGCAGUGGGGAAUAUUGCACAAUGGGCGGAAGCCUGAUGCAGCAACGCCGCGUGCGGGAUGACGGCCUUCGGGUUGUAAACCGCUUUCGCCUGUGACGAAGCGUGAGUGACGGUAAUGGGUAAAGAAGCACCGGCUAACUACGUG
rnacentral:rRNA from 1 species